AACGACGUUUCGACCAGACAGUCUUCUUCAGGUAGACUAAAAGGGGAGAUGACAGAUCAGAAUAAGAAUACUGUAUAUACGGUAUUCUUAUUCUGAUCUGUCAUCUCCCCUUUUAGUCUGCCUGAAGAAGACUGUCUGGUCGAAAUGUCGU
rnacentral:pre_miRNA from 1 species